rfam:Jatropha curcas cultivar GZQX0401 scaffold191_68, whole genome shotgun sequence.
AUACCUUUCUCGGCCUUUUGGCUAAGAUCAAGUGUAGUAUCUGUUCUUAUCAGUUUAAUUUCUGAUCCGUGGGCCAUUGGUCCACAUGAUAUUAAAUUAAUUUUUUUAGGGGAGGGCCCAUUCCAGUGGCUUGCUACUGGGGUCUUCGAGCGUCGCCCAUGCGUUGAACUGCUGCAAGGGCCUGGCGCGCCCCAC